CCAGGGAAAGCCGGGGGGCCCCGGCGCCCGCCCCGAGACCCGCCCGCGCCCUCGGCCCGCGCGUUCCCUCCCGCCGCGUGCGGUUGGCACAGCGCCUAGGCCGGUGCCCGCUGCUGGGCCUUUCAUCUUCGUCGAGAGCCGCGCUCGCCAAACACCGCCUCCGGUCCCUCCAGCCGGGACUGUGGGCAAAGGAGCGAAAAGCCAAUCAGCCAGUAACUGGGAGGGAAACGUAAAAGGAAAGGCCAAUGGGGUCCAGUUUCUGCUGACGCGCCCUUUAGCUUCAGAGCAUAUGCUCAGCGUGUCCGCGUCCCUGUGUUGAAUCUGAAAACGUGGGCUCUUGGAAGCUGCCUUUGGUAGGAGCGCUGCUUACCGUCUCAUCCCUAACUUUUCACUUAUUCAGCAAAUAUUUGUUGAGUUCCUAUUUUCUGGAAAAGAUUGGGUUAGACACUGGAACUAAUACAAACAAAGAACUGGCUCAUGUGAAAAUGGGAGCUGAGUCCCAGGACAUGCUGUCAGCAAGCUGGAGACCCAGGAGAGCUGAUGGUAUGAAUUCUAGUCCAAAAGCUGGCAGACUCAAGACUCAAGAAGAGCUGAUAUUUCUGGCUGAGUCUGAAGGUUGGGAAAAAAAGCAACAUUCCAGUUUAAGCAGUCAGGAGCUGGCCAGUGGGAUCCAUUCCAGCUGGUGCUGUGUUUGACAAGUUCCUGUUUUUCAUAAAUGUGUCCUGGGUUCUGGCCCAAGACGUCCCAGACUCGCCUUGUGUCUAUUCUUCUCAAGACUUGGAAUCAGCCAAUUCUGCAAGGAACAGCUAGACGUCACUUUAAACUGAAAACUCUGAAUUCCUUAUUAAAGCAUUUUCUUGAGAGAGUUUUGGGAAUAGCAAGCCUGCUGAGUAAAGAGUUGAAAGCAUCUAUUUUGACUGUUAGCUGUAAUGGUCACUGAAAACAAUAUGUUUACCUUUUUAACAAAGACUAUCACAGUCAAAAUCUGCGUUAAAUCAUAGCUUGUUGUGCUCCUAUCCUUUCAACCUAAAUAAACAAAAAUUUAAAAUAGUGUGUUUGAGAUUGUACUUGUAUUAGAGACAGUUUUAUGCAGUUUAACAUACUCAUAGGCUUAGCCUACUGG